GAUGAACGCUGGCGGCGUGCCUAAUACAUGCAAGUCGAGCGAACGGACGAGAAGCUUGCUUCUCUGAUGUUAGCGGCGGACGGGUGAGUAACACGUGUAUAACCUACCUAUAAGACUGGUAUAAUUUCGGGAAACCGGAUCUUAUACCGGAUGAUAUCUUGAACCUCAUGGUUCAAAAGUUAAAUACGGUCUUUCUGGCAGUUAUAGAUGGAUCCGCGCUGGAUUAGCUAGUUGGUAAGGUAACGGCUUACCAAGGCAACGAUGCAUAGACGACCUGAGAGGGUGAUCGGCCACCCUGGAACUGAGACACGGUCCCGACUCCUACGGGAGGCAGCAGUACGGAAUCUUCCGCAAAGGGCGAGAGCCUGACGGAGCAAAGCCGCGUGAGUGAUGAAGGUGUUCGGAUCGUAAAACUCUGUUAUUAGGGAAGAACAUAUGUGUAAGUAACUGUGCACAUCUUGACGGUACCUAAUCAGAAAGCCACGGCUAACUACGUG
rnacentral:rRNA from 1 species